rnacentral:rRNA from 1 species
GUCCUGGCCAUAAACGAUGAACACUAGGUGUCGGAGGCUUCGACCCCUUCGGCGCCGCCGCUAACGCAUUAAGUGUUCCGCCUGGGGAGUACGGCCGCAAGGUUAAAACUCAAAGGAAUUGACGGGGGCCCGCACAAGCAGUGGAGCAUGUGGUUUAAUUCGAUGCUACGCGAAAACCUUACCAGGGUUUGACAUCCCGGCGUAACCCCCUAGAAAUAGGGGGCCCCUUCGGGCGCCGGUGACAGGUGGUGCAUGGUUGUCGU